GAUGAACGCUGGCGGCGUGCCUAAUACAUGCAAGUCGAGCGAACGGACGAGAAGCUUGCUUUUCUGAUGCUAGCGGCGGACGGGUGAGUAACACGUGGAUAACCUACCUAUCAGACUGGGAUAACUUCGGGAAACCGAGCUAAUACCGGAUAAUAUUUUGAACCGCAUGGUUCAAAAGUGAAAGACGGUCUUGCUGUCACUUAUAGAUGGAUCCGCGCUGCAUUAGCUAGUUGGUAAGGUAACGGCUUACCAAGGCAACGAUGCAUAGCCGACCUGAGAGGGUGAUCGGCCACCCUGGAACUGAGACAGCGUCCAUACUCCUACGGGAGGCAGCAGUAGGGAAUCUUCCGCAAUGGGCGAAAGCCUGACGGAGCAACGCCGCGUGAGUGAUGAAGGUCUUCGGAUCGUAAAACUCUGUUAUUAGGGAAGAACAUAUGUGUAAGUAACUGUGCACAUCUUGACGGUACCUAAUCAGAAAGCCACGGCUAACUACGUG
rnacentral:rRNA from 1 species